CUACACUCGUCCAUAUACAAUUGCCCUCCUUAUGCUUCAUAGUUACCAUAUCGAAACUUUACCAAAUAAAGUGAGUUAAAAACGAUCCUGAUUCAAUUACCUUUUCGAAAAGCGUAAAAAAAAAAGAAGCGUUAUAUAGUAGUUCUGAACACCGUAGGCUAUGUCAUUAUUUCAUUAUGACCACUGGCAUGUAGAGUACAGACUCUCAAUUAGCUACACCUGCUGUUUCCUCUCCAAAAACGCCUCUGAUACAAGGCCCAUAGCCACUCCUUGGGCUCCGCCUUUGUUGGCCAUUGUAUUAGUAAAACACAAAAUUUAAAAAGAUCUCACAAUUACCUGGCUUGAAGAUAUAGCAUUUUUUUGGUCGCUCUUCGUGUCUACAACAUCACCGUCCUACCAAAAGGCCUACCAUGUGCUGGACGCUACUCUGGCCACGAGAGGCCACUCGUGUGCAGACUGCCUUCAUUAAUCCACCGGAAGCAAGAAACCUCGAAACGGAAGACACAAGGUAAACGAGCUCGCGUUCUGGAGGUGGUUCAUGAGGGAUCUCUUCAACACAGGACUUUGGAUCGGCGCUUGGUGUCUUGGUAUACGUCGCGUCCCCUGCGGACCACAGGAGAGGGAAAUGGAGGAGGGGGGGGGGGAAAGUGAGCGCUCUUAUCUCAACAUUAAAGGUGACAUAUUAUAC
ensembl:lncRNA